GCUUGCUUCUUGGGGUUGUAGGACACUCUAUACGGAGUUACAAAAGAAAGUUAUAAAUGAAGCGGUCUGGAAAGGCCCGCCAAAGACGGUAACAGCCCGGUAGUUGAAAUGGCUUUCCCUCCAGAGUGGAUCCUGAGUACGGCGGAACACGUGAAAUUCCGUCGGAAUCCGGGAGGACCAUCUCCCAAGGCUAAAUACUCCCUAGUGACCGAUAGUGAACCAGUACCGUGAGGGAAAGGUGAAAAGCACCCCGGAAGGGGAGUGAAACAGUUCCUGAAACCGUGUGCCUACAAGUAGUUAGAGCCCGUUAAUGGGUGAUAGCGUGCCUUUUGUAGAAUGAACCGGCGAGUUACGAUUUGUUGCAAGGUUAAGCGGAAAAAGCGGAGCCGUAGCGAAAGCGAGUCUGAAUAGGGCGCAUAAGUAACAGGUCGUAGACCCGAAACCAGGUGAUCUACCCAUGUCCAGGAUGAAGGUAAGGUAAUACUUACUGGAGGUCCGAACCCACGCACGUUGAAAAGUGCGGGGAUGAGGUGUGGGUAGCGGAGAAAUUCCAAUCGAACUUGGAGAUAGCUGGUUCUCUCCGAAAUAGCUUUAGGGCUAGCCUCGAGGUAAAGAGUCAUGGAGGUAGAGCACUGUUUGGACUAGGGGCCCUUCUCGGGUUACCGAAUUCAGAUAAACUCCGAAUGCCAUGUACUUAUACUCGGGAGUCAGACUGCGAGUGAUAAGAUCCGUAGUCGAAAGGGAAACAGCCCAGACCACCAGUUAAGGUCCCCAAAUAUAUGUUAAGUGGAAAAGGAUGUGGGGUUGCUUAGACAACCAGGAUGUUGGCUUAGAAGCAGCCACCAUUGAAAGAGUGCGUAAUAGCUCACUGGUCGAGUGACCCCGCGCCGAAAAUGUACCGGGGCUAAACAUAUUACCGAAACUGUG
rnacentral:rRNA from 1 species